ACCAUGUUGGACAAGCUGGUCUUGAAUUCUUGACCUCAAGUGAUCCGCCAGCCUCGGUUCCCCAAAGUGUUGGGAUUACAGGAGCGAGCCACCACGCCCAACCAACAAGUGCCCUUUAAAUACAUCCUCCCUUCUCUCUGCUUGCAGGCUUUGAUAUGCCCACCAUGUGACUUUUCGCCCCUUCCAAGAUUUCCAACCAAUCCCCUCCUUCCUGUUUCCCGUUGGGCUUUGGGGAAUGUACCAUAUGGACUCUGCGGGCAGACGGAGAGGACGAAAGGCGUGGCGACCGCUUAUUUCUUUGGCUUUUGCACGUAUCCCAUGAGAUUCUGGCAAGGCUGAGCGUGCAGGUAGCAGUGGGAUCCCUGAGGAUGGGAGCCAGUGCACUGAGAUCUCUCGCCUCCGAGGCUAGGGUCCUGUGGUCCGCCCGAGGGCCGCAACCCCCGCCCUUUCAUGUGCCUGCCUCGCCCCCGGCUGCGCCGAUGCUCCUGCUGCUGCUGCUGCUUACCGCGCCGGACGCCGGGGCUGCGGGACAGGGCGGCACUGGCCGGCUACUGGGACGCCGGCGCCUAGGGACACCGCAGCAUGAGGCAGAGAAACAGGAACUAAAGAGUUUUAACUGGGCACCGCUAUAGCAGUGGCUGUUGAUCAUCGUCUCCUGGCUGGAACCAGGGAAUCCUGUCGUUCAGGGAGGAGCAACGCAGCAGCAGGCAUGCCUUCUCAGCCCCAGCUGACUCACUCUGGGGUGGAUGGAUGUAUUUACUUACUUAUUUAUUAUUUGGUUCUUGCUCUGUCGCCCAGGCUGGAGUACAGUGAUGCAAUCUCGGCUCACUGCAGCCUGGACCUCCCGGGCUCAAGCGAUCCCACCUCAGCCUCCCAAGUAGCUGGGACUUCAGGCACAUGCCACUACGCCAGCUAAUUUUUUAAACGUUUUGUAGAGACAGGCUCUCGCCCUGUUGCCCAGGCUGGUCUUGAACUCCUGGCCUCAAGCCGUCUGCCCACCUUGGCCUCCCAAAGUGCUGGGAUUACAGGUGUGAGUUACCACACUCAGCCCACUCGGUUUUGAGUGGCCAUUUGCUU
rnacentral:lncRNA from 1 species